rnacentral:rRNA from 1 species
UCCGGAGGCUUUUUUUUGUAUNAGGGUUCCACCUCUUCCCAUUCCGAACAGAGAAGUUAAGCCUCACCACGCCGAUGGUACUGCGUCACAGUGGGAGAGUAGGUAGCCGCCGUUU